UGAGAGGUGUCAUCCAUUUCUUUCUUAUAAUGGUUCGGAGUUCCCACAAGAAUGACCCAUUAGUAAUUGAAUUUCCCCUGUUUUCACUUCUUUUUUUUUCUGGAGGACUCCUGUUCCUUGUGCUCUAGUGCUGUCAGAACUGUGUAGCUGUGUUGAUAUAAAUGUGUGCUACCCUCUUUUUGGUCUCCUUUGUCAUCUGAUUAGUCUUUAAAGAUGCAGCACUCUCUUUCCACCUCAUAAGGCCCUCAGUUCCUGAGAACUCAUCUUGAUCUCAUUCAGGAGAAAAGUAAAUCCCUCAAGAUCUUCCUUAUGAUGCUUACAGUCCAUGCUGCUCUUCCCAUGUGAAGAACUGACGUCAGUCAAAUUUGGCCCAAUCAAGAAAUCAAAGAAUAACAAAAGAAUUGCAAUGCAUUAAUAAAGACCUAGAUCCAUCCAGACUUUAAGAUCCUCUUCCAAAAGUCCAGUGGGAUACCUGAUUCAUCAUCCUGUCUUUCACCAGCCAAGGAAUGCAGAGCGUCCUGGUCAAGAGGCAAAGCUGGUCAGACAAGCUUCCGCCAGACCAAGAUGUCAGCAAUGACUCCAGCGUUCUAAAAAUCCAGAAGAUCACUACAAACAAAUGAAAAACUAAAAGUCUGGUAGAACAGAGGCCAUGACUGGGUGAGCCGCACUGUCUCGCUUCCAAAAAUUUACUCUUCAUGAAAAAUGAAAAUCAUCGUUUCUCAAAAGCAACCUACAGUAAAGUCAAGGUCUAUACACCAAAGAUAGAAAAAAUGAGAAAAAUAAAUGGAAAGAAUGAAGCAAAAAGAGAGCCAUGAAAGAUACAAAGAGAUGUAUUUAGAAAGUAGAAGGAUCAAGACACUGUGUGCCUCAGAAAAAAAGAAGAUAUAAUUAAGCUAAAGAUUUUGAGAUGGAAUAAUUCAGAGGAGGAGAAGAUAUGAAGCAGAAGAGAAGAAUCCCAUGUGAAGAAGGGUACAAUGAUUGAAGUUACACAGGCGCAAGUUGAAAAGGCUGAAGCCAUCAGAAUGUGGAAGAGGUAAGGAAGGAUUCUACCCUACAGCCUUCAAAGGGAGCAUGACUUUGCUGACACCUUGAUUUUGGACUUCUGGCCUUGAGAACUGUAAUAUAAUAAAUUUCUGUUGUUUUAAGCUAUCAAGUUUAUUGCUAUUUGUUAAGAGAGCAGUAGGAAACUAACAGUAUGUAUAUUCCUUCUUUAGUGACAGUUACGAAGUAAAAAAAAAACAAGAGAAUAUGGAAACUGCUAUAUACUAAUGAUUUUUUUCUGCCCAUAUCCAUCUG
rnacentral:lncRNA from 1 species